rnacentral:rRNA from 1 species
AGUGAACGCUGGCGGUAGGCCUAACACGUGCAAGUCGAACGGCAGCUCAGUAAGAGCUUGCUCUUACGGGUGGCGAGUGGCGGACGGGUGAGGAAUACAUCGGAAUCUACUUUUUCGUGGGGGAUAACGUAGGGAAACUUACGCUAAUACCGCAUACGACCUACGGGUGAAAGCAGGGGAUCUUCGGACCUUGCGCGAUUGAAUGAGCCGAUGUCGGAUUAGCUAGUUGGCGGGGUAAAGGCCCACCAAGGCGACGAUCCGUAGCUGGUCUGAGAGGAUGAUCAGCCACACUGGAACUGAGACACGGUCCAGACUCCUACGGGAGGCAGCAGUGGGGAAUAUUGGACAAUGGGCGCAAGCCUGAUCCAGCCAUACCGCGUGGGUGAAGAAGGCCUUCGGGUUGUAAAGCCCUUUUGUUGGGAAAGAAAAGCAGCAGGUUAAUACCCCGCUGUUCUGACGGUACCCAAAGAAUAAGCACCGGCUAACUUCGUG